rnacentral:rRNA from 1 species
UACGUAGGGUGCAAGCGUUAAUCGGAAUUACUGGGCGUAAAGCGUGCGCAGGCGGCUUUGCAAGACAGAUGUGAAAUCCCCGGGCUUAACCUGGGAAUGGCAUUGGUGACUGCUCGGCUAGAGUGUGUCAGAGGGGGGUAGAAUUCCACGUGUAGCAGUGAAAUGCGUAGAGAUGUGGAGGAAUACCGAUGGCGAAGGCAGCCCCCUGGGAUAACACUGACGCUCAUGCACGAAAGCGUGGGGAGCAAACAGG